GGAAGUCUUUGUUCCGCGGGGCCUCGGAACAAAGGAGCGGAGGGACCGAGAGGGGGCCAGGUGGGGGCCGGGACCGCGGCCGGCGCUGUCCCUGGUGCUGGCAGCGUCAUCGAACUCCCGACGCGGGCGGCCAGGCCACCUGCUCCCGGUCGUGCAGACACGUCCCGGUGGCACCGGGUGGCCCUCGUGAUGGGAGCGUCCCCGGCGGAAGAAAACCUAGCGUCCCUGAGGGUAGGGCAGGAGAGCGGUUUGGCCUGCGCGGUGCACAGACGCUGCCCCGGCGGAGUCCUCGAGCGGGUCCCCCGGCGCAUCCCUCCCGUCGAGUCCUUCCAACCGCCACUCUGAAACAGCCAGGGUGGAAGCAAGUCCUGCGGGGGCUCUGUCACGCUCCCGUCCCGGCUCCAUUCGCGGCCAUCUGCCGCGGCCUAAUUCUACUCUGCCGUCUAUCAAACGGUAGCCACAGUCAGCCAGGGCAGGGGAUGCUCUCAAACACUAAAUAAGGCAAAACAACUAAGAAACAGCAAUAACUACAAGAACUAUAAAUGAUAACAACACCAUCUACCUGAAGGUCGUAGAGCUUUGUCCUCUUUUCUAUUGCGCUCAGGAGACAGCACUGACUGCAGUGGGUUUUUUACCAAAAACUGGAUUGCAAAUUGGACUGAUCACCCUUCUCUGCAAAGGGAUAGAAGAGGAGAAAUCUUACUUUUUCCUCAGCCUCUUCAUUUCCUUGUAAUCAUCCUUAUGCUGCCCAGUAGACAGACGAAGUACAUGGGCUACUCCAUCCUUUCUCAGCUCAGAGAGCUGAGGAUGAGUUUUUCUCAAUGCACUGCCUGCUCCUGCCGUGCCACAUAGCUUCUCUCAUUUCUUGAUUUUGAGAUGCCUCUUCAUAUAUACACAUCUACCCACACAUACAUAUGCACAUUUGCACAUUUUCUAUGUACCCUCAGAUUGCUCUAAUUUCUGUGUAUCAUUUCUUCUUGUUUAUGUGUUCUUUGUAAGACCCAGCACUUCGCAGGAUCUCAGGAGAGCCAUGCAGUAAACAGAGGAAAGUCCAUCUUCGCCUGCUCAUGUGUGGGCCAGGAUGAUGCACAGCCAAGGUUAACCCUCAUACAGGUAGAGAACAGGGAAGUCUUUUAAAUGUGUUUUGUCCUGAGCAACAUGAAGGACUCAGCUAAACUCUUUGCAGGAUUACAAACGUGAACUGACUACCCCUGCACUAAGGCAUUAUCUCCACCACAUCUCAUUCCUUCUUGUUUUCUUGGAAAUCAGUGCUAAAGCUUUGUUAUAAACAUUCUAUGCUUCCACAGCAAAAGAAACAUAAAUAUGUAAGUGAACCUGCUACUGCCAAUCUCUCAAUGUAAUUUUAUAAAUAUUUCUUACUGCUUGGAAAGAAGUGGAACUUUGGAAUAGAUGGAGGUUCUUUUGGAAAGCUUUCAGAAACAGGGAACCUUCCUCCCUUCUAAACUACAGUGGCAAUAAUAAUGGUGGUGACGAUGAUGAUGGAGCACAUAAAAAAUGGAUGUAAGGAAGGUCUGAAGACCCAGCUGAUGAACUAUGCCAUCUAGAGCCAUGUUUCCCCUUCUGAUGUCACAUCUCUGCCGUAGGUUGAGGUUAUGGCAGCGGCAUCUGAAAGUAACCUGCAUUUAAUAUUCACCACUUGCCUUCUUACUCCAAGAACAGAACAAAACCCUGCUCUCAGCAAUUUUUCUUGGGGGUAGUCUGAUUUCCAAGGCUCCUCACGGAGAGGAGCAGGGAGCACUGCCUGCCAGCCUCUCCUUGAGUUAGAAGAACACACCCACGCCCUCCCACUACUCCCUCCCCCUUUUUUUUUUUUUUUAAAUUGUUUUUCCUUUUUUCCUCCUUAAGCGACGCCUGCCCGGAGCCAUAGGGGCAGAGCUCGGCCCCGGGACGGCCGCAGGACGCCCCCGGGCGCUGCCCCGGCGGGGCCGGGCGGGAUGCGGGACGAUGCGGCCCCUCCGCCGGCACUGCCGCGACCCCUGGCGGCCGCGCACCGCGCAUCGCCCAGCGCAGCGCAAGCCCCGCUCCAGUCUCGCUCAAACCCGGCGCGGCAGAACACGAGAAACUUCCAAGUACGAGCCGUUUAGAAGCAAUGUUCCGAAUCAAAAAUAGCUUACAAAUGUCAUUCUAAAAUGUUUUGCAACGUAGAGCGUGAGAAGCGAUCCUUCCAUGCCUUCCCAGUGGGAAUCGAGGCUAUCUGUCUCAUGUAGAUUCAGAUCUGUAGAGUAUCAUUUGUGACACGAAAAUAUGGAGGGAAAUGAGCUACUACCUGCUUACUGCAGCUGUUGAGGCAGUCUGGGGCAUCAGUUUCACUCAGGGGCAAAUGGUCCUACUGUAGCAAGAGGCAGACUCAAGGUAUUGUCCAAUUUACAGACACAGGCCAGUCAUUUUCAAAAAGUUAAAAUUUAGUUUUUGAACUGGGAUGAUUAGACGCCAACAUUUCAUUUUAUUUCACUUAUCCUGUACUCAAGGUGGUGGCUAAGAAAGGUGUAGAGCACAGGUAAGUCAGGCAAUAAGCAAAGCAAGCUUCCCAGCAGAACAAGCACUGUCCCACUGUCUCCACCCUGAAGGGCUGUUCAAGCAGCAGGAUCUUCCCACUGAGAGAAGCAGAGGAGAAGCAAUGUGUCUGGUGCUUCAAGGCCUGGUGCACCGCGAUGACUGCCACACGGCAGGAAAGUGGAUGAGCCAGCCAGCAAGGUAAUACAUGCUCAGCCUACUAAUAUUUGUGGAUAAAAUGAAAAGAGCAGCUGUGACAGGAAAACUAAAGACAAAGAACACAUCAGAGAAAAGACACCUAAGGAUGCAAAAUCUUAAGGAAUCCUAAAUACAGGAAAACAAGAAUUAGAAAUGAAAACACCCGACUGUUUUUACCGUCUUAAACUACAGAAAAACACUGCCACCUCUGCAGAUACAACACAUGAGCCUGCAAGAUGAAGGCUAUUCUGUGGCUCACGUGUGGAUGUGAAGGAACAAAGACUACCCAAGCUCACCUGCAUGGAAACUGUGAAACUGCCUGGAAAAUUUGGGGAAUACUGAGCUGAGCAUUUUAUCAGGAAGACUGCCACCGAUUCUGAGUCGAAAUGAAGAAUGAGUUUCUAUUCAAACUUAAGUGAAGAGAAAUAAUUCUGCAACCUCAGAAGUUUAUAGAGCAAUAUGGAGAAGCACAGAAAGGAGACAAAUAGUUCAAAGUACAAUAGAACGGUGAAAACUGCUUUUUUUUUAUUUAUAAUGCAUUUUCUUCUGUUGCCUGUGCUCAUCCUUUUGUGUUCAGCUUAAAACAGUUGUUCAAACAAACUUCUUUAACAUUUUGUGGGCAAACACAAAAAUCAAUAGAUUUUUAUGUCUCCACGUGCACAUGGUUUUGUUCAAUUUAUUCAAGCACUCACCCUCUCAGAAAGUAAGAACAAUUUUGUCCAGCAAGCAAGAACUACAAACAGGUCCCAAGUGAUUAAGGGUUGGCUUUGAAGAACCUUUUUCUGGUGAAAACUUGUCAGCAGAAGCUGUGUUUGUUGGAUUCUUGACCGCAGGAUAUUUCUUCCUUGAGCCACAUGAAGUAGGAUGAAGGGCAGAGGAGACAGUGAUUUGGGAUAAACCUGGAGGACUGAGACUGCAGUUCCAGCCCAAAACCUAACUUGAAGGAGGGGAUAUGAGUCUGAUAAGGAACAGGAGGACAAAUCUUUCCAUCUUCUUAUAUGUGCCCAGAUCUGGAAUUUAGAAAGACCAAUAAAGGCAAGCAGUAGCUAAGUACAGGCAGGAAAAGGCAAUAACAACUCAUCUGAAGCAAUUACAAAUGUCGGAGCUAAAUCAGAAAAGCCCUAUCAGUGAAAGAGAAAGAUGGCUGAUCUUUCAAAAUGCUCCUGAAAAAUCCCUGCAAAAUAGGCACUAGAAAGCUGGCUUUGAAUCUGCUAGACUUACACAGAAAUUAUUGUGUCACAUAUAGACUCCUUACCUAAUGCAAUACAAAUCAAUAUAACACACACAGGUAUUCCAUGUUUCCUCAUCCAAAACUCUGCAUUUCCCUGUCAUGUUUCGGGGUUUGCAUCCUGUAGCACAUGAUUCCUACAUUUUCCUUAAUUUUAGAAACCUAGCAACCUAGUCAUACUAGCAACCCCUCUUCUGUCUGAGAAGGACAAGGCGGGGUUUUAACCAUCAAUGCUGCUGAGAGGUAGCAGUAAAGCUGGGGGAAAUGAACAUUCUACCCCUAGGGGGUAUGGAUUGGAGCUGGAAUGCCCAGGUUACACACAGAGUUGCCAUGCACUUCUGUCCUUUCUGAGAGCUGAAAUGUUUAGAAAGUGAUUAUAUUGGCAGGGAGGAAUUAGCAGACAUCACACUAACAGAUCGUGCUUUCUGAAUGUUCUAGAGGAAAAAGCUAAGGAGAGGUGGAGAGGUUUUGGGGACCAAAUUUAGCAGAACUGAAUUCCCUACUUUUUCAGUUUGCUUAACAGUGAGAAAAAACAUAGCAAAAUAGGUAUGUUAACAGGGUCAAAAAUUGCCUGAG